rnacentral:piRNA from 1 species
UUUGCCAUCGUUCUGGCUAUGGGAGUGGU